GAGGAGCAUUCAGAGCAAUGCACAGUCUUAACUUCUCUACUGCUGCUGCCCCCCAGGCUCUUCCUGGCUCAGCACAGCAGGAGAAAACAUGAGCUGAGCAGUGCACUGUCAUGGAGAAAUGGAGCAGGUGUUAAGGUUCAGAAAGAAAGCUGGAGUCACCAAAUAAAUUCCGGUACUAAAACAUAGCAGAAUGCAUACUGGAUCACUCAAAAGUGUUCAGGUGAGAGUUGUGUAAAAUUCACGACUUUCAAGCUGCUAUAGAAUUUCUCCAAAUUUCCAGGAAAAUAGGUGAAGAUAAAAGAGAGAGAAGACAAACUGAGAAA